GAAAGUCCUCUCUCUGUCUCUUGUCACAGACCAACCACCGUUUCUUUUGCAGCUCUUUCUCCUCCACAUCUUCCUUCUCCGCCUCCUCCCAUACUUCCUCCUCUGCCUCCACCUAUACUUCCAUUGCUGACGCCUUGUCUCUCCUCUUACUCAUCUUCCUCCUCUGCCUUUUCCCAGCAUUGAACAUCUACUUUUAUUUACGCAUGUUAAGAGUGAAAUUAUAGGGUUUCUUUCUGUAAAUUGGCUCAAAUCCAGUGGCUAUAAGUGAUAUGGGCUGCGCCAUGCGAAUUUCGUAGAUAAACAAGUCUGACCAUAGCCAGUACCAAGUUCACAAGGAUACGGCUCAAUCAGUUUGGUAACCUCUGCCGCGCCUCCAUUGCUGCUGUAAUCAUUUUUAUUCCUCUCAUCCUUAUUUUCUGGGCUCUCUCCUUCAGCUCUCCCGCUUUCCCCAAAUUUCAGACACAUUUAGGGCUUGUGAAAGCACUUGGAACUCUGUGCAGAAAGUGCAGAGAGCAUUAUUGCAGUCGGAUGUCCAUGCAAAAUCUGAUAAAAGUCCUGUAACAGUAGCUGUGUAGCACUUGGUGUAUGAUAAAAUUAGCGACGAGGUAUGUUAUAAACGGUAAUGACUUUUACAAAUAAUCCCACGAUUGAAUUUAUUACAGGGUAGUGGAGAGAGGUUUUCACCAAUUAAAUGAAGCAGAGCCUGGUCUACUUGAACAAGAACUUAAACUAACUGCUUGUAGAGUAACAUCUGUGCAGUGUCUUGUUCUUUAAAGGAGGUGAGAUUAUUGUAUACUUGUUGUAGCAAAUUAGUGACCCUGUCAAAUUUCUUGGAAGGCGUUGAAUAUUAGAUGAGAAUGAUAUUAAGAAGCAAGAGGAAAAGGUAGAGGCAGGUGCUUCAUUUCUUGUGAAAAUGGUACAUUUGCCCUACAGCUAAAGCAAAAUGGUCGUUGUGUCCUUAUUCAAGUAUUAUUUGUCAAAGGAAAAUGGUCUUAAUUUAGCAUUGAGCUUAUGCAGUUUUACAGUCACCCUUACCUGACAUGGAAACAUUGUGAACUGAUGGCCUGUGUAGGUCUGCAAGGAGGAGGAAAGUGGUGGUGCCUUGGUGUUUCAAUGUUGAAGCUGAUGGCUUGGUUCCUUUGUUUUGUGUUUUUGAAAUCCACAAUUGGUUGAAGUCUUGUCUUACCUUUGAAACUAGAAAGGACUAUUACAAUUCAAAAGGGCUACCUUUCUCUUUGGCUUGUUUUAGGCUUUUAGCGAGAAUACAUUUUUCUAUUUCUUUUAGCGAGAAUACAUUUAUUAAACUUUUAGUGAGAAUGCAUUCUUCUAAAGAAUCGUGAAUUUGUUUUGCAAUA